rnacentral:tRNA from 1 species
GGAGAGAUGGCCGAGNNUUGGUCGAAGGCGCUCCCCUGCUAAGGGAGUAUGGGGCCAAAAGCUCCAUCGAGGGUUCGAAUCCCUCUCUCUCCGCCA